GUAAUUACCUGCAAUGUCCUGAGAGGCAGCGUGUGAGAGCGGCUUCAUCCGAGUCAAUCAGACCCACGCAGGGUUGCUAAGUGCAUCUAGGACGCUUAAUUAGCUGAUCUGCUUUCACCGAGUGCACUUCAGCCUCCUGAAACCCGCACCGCGUAUUUUUCCCAUCGCUCCGAGUAUUAGUGCCUUGUGUGUGUUGACCUUACCUCCCAUAAUGCAUCUCCUGUCCUCAGCAUGGCUCUGUGUCACAGGACAGAGUUAGCGUCUCGCGCGCUUCACGCUCGUGUUAAUGGAGAUUAGCAGCGCAUGCUCGUUAGUCCAGAGACGGAACUUUCCGUCGUGUUCAGAACCGCUUUAAAAUAACGCACGCCCAUGAGUUUAAUCCUGGAGUCGGAAGAUGAGUCAGAAGUGUGUGUGUGAGACGGCGAGUUCGAUUUCAUGCUGAAGUUCCAUUCGAUCAGGGAUUAAUGAGACGAUGUUGACUGUGAGCGAGGCUGCGUUCAGACGCUCGGUAUCGUGGAAUAACCCGGGCUCAUUUCUGCCACUACAUCAUUUAACACAUGGGUUCAAAUAUAGAACUGUAACGAUACGAUCGAAUCCAACGUCAUCAUCAUUCACUCAUUACCACCAUCACUACCACCAUCAUUACCACCAUCACUACCACCAUCAUUACCACCAUCACUACCACCAUCACCCACACCAUCAUUAACACCAUCACUACCACCAUCAUUACCACCAUCACUACCACCAUCACUACCACCAUCACUACCACCAUCACUACCACCAUCACCCACACCAUCAUUAACACCAUCACUACCACCAUCAUUACCACCAUCACUACCACCAUCAUUACCACCAUCACCCACACCAUCAUUAACACCAUCACUACCACCAUCAUUACCACCAUCACUACCACCAUCAUUACCACCAUCAUUUACACCAUCACUACCACCAUCACUACCACCAUCAUUACCACCAUCACUACCACCAUCACUACCACCAUCAUUAACCACCAUCACCCACACCAUCAUUACCACCAUCAUUUACACCAUCACUACCACCAUCACUACCACCAUCAUUACCACCAUCACUACCACCAUCAUUACCACCAUCAUUUACACCAUCACUCACUCAUUAACACCAUCACUACCACCAUCAUUACCACCAUAACCCACACCAUCACUACCACCAUCAUUACCACCAUCACCCACACCAUCAUUAACACCAUCACUACCACCAUCAUUACCACCAUCACUACCACCAUCAUUACCACCA
ensembl:lncRNA